rnacentral:rRNA from 1 species
CCGUCGCCGUAACCAUUGUACGGACGUCGCGACCCGUUCGGUGUCGGUCUGAGGAGACGUGUAAAAGUUCGCCGACGUUUUGCGUCCAUUCGUGGGUGCGCGUCGACGAGUGCGCGUUCUUGUUUUCUGGCCGACUCGCCGGACGGUACGCGUAACGGUGACCGCGGCGACCUUUCACGAGCGUCGUCGUCGGUACCGGUCUGCGACGAAUCUUCGGGCCUCUUUCCGACCCGUCUUGAAACACGGACCAAGGAGUCUAACGUGCGCGCGAGUCGCGGGGUGUCGAGCGGUUGGCGGUGUUCCUUGUGGGCGUCGUCGGCCGUUCGUUACAAUACGAAACCCGUCUCGUUUUACGAAAGGCGCAAUGAAAGUGAAUUUUUUUUUGGGGAAGAUGACGUUACCGAGUUCACGUUUCGCGCUCUCUGUAGCGCGGCCGGUCGUCCGCAUUCCCAGGGCGUCUCAACGGCCCGGCGGCGUUGCGGAU